rnacentral:sRNA from 1 species
GGCCUCUGAUUGGCCGAAGCUGGCAGAGCCGGGCCGCUGGCGCUCCUGGGUCCAUGCAACCUGCUCUGGGUGGCAGCCGAGUUCUCGGGAACCGCGGCUCGGCCUGCAAGGCUGUUGUUUCAAGAAAUGAAAAUGAAGGGCGCCCUGGAAUAGGUUCGCCUAAGAGAGAGCUUGCAGGCCUCUGGGAAGCAAGCCAUCGUGUGGCAGAGGCCCAUGUGGCAAGGAACCAAGGGCAGCUUCUGGCCAACAGCCAGCAAGGACCUGAGGCCGUAGCCCAACACCCCUCCAGGAACUGAAUUUUGCCAACAACCAGUGAGUGACCUUGGAAGUGGAUUCUUCCCCCGAAAGCCCGGCUUUCAGCUCAGAGAAGGGAAAAAUAUCUCUUCCUAAAGACACAGAGAAACAUGAACAAACCUGACCAAUAGGAGGACCAAAACUUCUGCACAGUGCCUCGCCCCUUGGAGGAAUUAACAAAAAUACGGAGGCUGGUGGGACCUCAACCCCAGCCAGUAUCCAGGCUGUUGACGCCAUCUGGAGAAGGAAUUCAAGAGUGUGUCAGAAAAUGAUGAAAGUACAAAGAUUUAUUGCGAAGCGAAAAAUACACACUCAAGAAAGAGGAGUAUGUGUGGACUCAAGACAGAGUCCAAUGGGACUUGGGGUUUCUACCUUUUGGGUUUCUUUUUUUUUUUU